ACGUUUGGUGAUGUCAUAGACAAGAAAUGCACCUACUGCGCCUCUGUAAUAAGCGCUUGUGAUGGCUCUGUACCGCUCUUGACCGGCAGUGUCCCAUAUUUGGGCCUUUACAGUCUUUCCUUCAACCUGUAUAACCGUAAGACAAUCACAAAAAGUUAACAACUGGUUAGGUCUCAUAAUUGUCUUGCUUCAAGCUUUCACAGACAUGAUUAGCAGAUGGUAGGAAGCUGUCACAUGUUACAAAUCAUUUUGCUUAAACACAGAGCAUCAACAUUUGUGAUAUACAUCAGCCACAUAAAUGUUUAUGUAGGUCACUAUGUAUCACAUAACUCUUUCUUGAAAUUAUUAUUUGAUGAGUAGACUUUUUCAGGGAUGAAAAGUUGACUUUGAUGAUUAGUUAAAAAACAUUACUGGGGAACAAGUUGGGGGCUCUCUCCACCAGUCAGUCAUACACAAAAAAUAUAAACUAAAGCAUUGUUCAUGACUCAUAGCCAGCACAUUUAAGAUGCUCUCUUGAUAUAAAAAUUCUCAGAUAACAAAAAUAAAAUUUAAAAAACAGGUGAGAGGAACAAUGCACCGAAUUGUCUCAGACAUUAGAUUAUUCGAAUCUUAAGAAACCACAGUACCUUUCACUAGUUAUAUGCUACACAAGCAUGUUUUAAGACUGGCUCAAAAAAUAGAUGUAACUUCAAAAGAACAAAACUAAAACACGACCGCAUCAGAUGAACUAACAUUGACCUAUAAUGAUGAGAUCGUGAAGUUGAUACCAAACCAAAAAGGCAAAACUGAAGAGGAAGUAAAAGAUUUCACGGUUUAGGGCUAAACCUAGUUCAAAACAAAGACAGAGAAUACAAAUCCCACCACACCUAGCAGAUCCUAAC